UACGUAGGGGGCAAGCGUUGUCCGGAUUUACUGGGCGUAAAGAGCGUGUAGGCGGCCAAGCAGGUCCGUUGUGAAAACUGGAGGCUUAACCUCCAGACGUCGACGGAAACCGCGUGGCUAGAGUCCGGAAGAGGAGAGUGGAAUUCCUGGUGUAGCGGUGAAAUGCGCAGAUAUCAGGAAGAACACCCGUGGCGAAGGCGGCUCUCUGGGACGGUACUGACGCUGAGACGCGAAAGCGUGGGGAGCGAACAGG
rnacentral:rRNA from 1 species